rnacentral:tRNA from 1 species
GGGGAUUUGGCUCAGUGGUAGAGCGCUUGCCUAGCAGGCGGAAGACCCUGGGUUCGGUCCCCAGCUCCA